CGAUGCAACGCGAAGAACCUUACCUGGUCUUGACAUCCCGGAGACCCUUAGGAAACUAGGGGGUGCUUCCAUCUGGAAGAAUCUGGAGACAGGUGCUGCAUGGCUGUCGUCAGCUCGUGUCGUGAGAUGUUGGGUUAAGUCCCGCAACGAGCGCAACCCUUGCCUUUAGUUGCCAGCAGUUCGGCUGGGCACUCUAAAGGGACUGCCGGUGUUAAACCGGAGGAAGGUGGGGAUGACGUCAAGUCCUCAUGGCCUUUAUGACCAGGGCUACACACGUACUACAAUGGCCGAUACAAAGGGCAGCGACACUGCGAGGUGAAGCCAAUCCCGUAAAAUCGGUCUCAGUCCGGAUUGGAGUCUGCAACUCGACUCCAUGAAGUUGGAAUCGCUAGUAAUCGUGGAUCACGCAUGACCACGGUGAAUACGUUCCCGGGCCUU
rnacentral:rRNA from 1 species